rnacentral:sRNA from 1 species
AAACUCUAUUUUUGGUUGGGAAAUCAUCAUAAUGUUAACUUUCUAUGCUGCGUGCACGUGACAGAUGCAGGAUGCUUUGGUAUUAAGAACACAGGGUAGUACUGAAGGUGAAUACAAGCUAUUGAUAGACAUUUAUUCAGCAUUAGUGUUCAAACAUUAUUCUUGUACUAACAGGUAUCCAAUAACAAGCCAUUGGAUAUGACAGUUAAAUAUUUUCCAUGAUACGGGCCAGGCAAUGAAACCCAGCAACAUCAAAAGAUGACAAACAGAUUUGUGAUGGGAUGUCAAUUUGAGUGUGAAAUAUGUGUUUUGUCGAAUAAUUAGAGUGAUAAAAAUAUAUUUAGUAGUUUACAUUUUGUCGCAAAGGCAAUCAAAGCCGGAGUUAUUACUUCGCAGUGUUUAGGAACAUAAUAUUGCGCUUUGCUUUGUAAUCACAUCAGAUAUCUCCUGGGACAAAGAAGUAAAAUAUACUGGCAUCAGACACGAAACAACUUGGGUGUUUACCCCUAUGUUUAUCGCUAGAGACCAGAAUGGUUUGGUAAAUUUUGAUUUGAUGGUCGACUCUUUUUAAAAAAUUGUUGUGAUUGUUUCUGUCAUUAGAAGAAUCGUUUUGGAUCACAAUUAUUUAAACAGGUACCAAAAAUGGCAUCCACAAGUCUUGUUAGUGAUACCAUAAUCGACGCAAGUGCGACACCACAGGAAGUGACCGUCUCCAUCGUCAUGGCAACAUUACUGGUGGUGCUCAUUUUGUUGCAUGUGAUAUUUUACAUUGUGGCUAACAGGAAACUAGAGGAAUGGUUUAGACGUUUUAGACAACUCUUACCAAAAUCAAGAUCAAGUACAACGCCUCGGGUAACCAUAAUGAAUGUGAAACCCAUCAAAAACGGCAUGCAGGCGAGAAUCGACUCCGCCUCAACAGUCUGCCGUCCGAAAACUGCUGGUGCUUCAUGGGACCGAGUAUCUCGCCUCUCAGAUUCCCCCAAAAAGUUAGAACGGAGUUACUCUAUUCCACCAAGUUCCAAUGAAAAUAACAUUGUGAUCUUGCAUGAUUUACAAAGCUUUUCACUGGAAAUGGACACUUUUUCUAGUGAAAAUGGUAUGAAUGCUCAAAAAUGUGAAACACGGUACAGUAAAGGACAAAUAGAAAUGCAAAAUCCUGUUGUCCAUAAUGUUAAAAUACAAAUGGAAAUGGACCAAUCUACUACUGCGGACAAUAAGUGUGGUUUGUAAUGGGUAUCAAAAUACACAACUACCCAACAGUGUAACCUUGUAAUAGGCUAUGGAAUCAAUCGACGGAACUGUGAUAACCCACUUAUAAUUUCUGUAAGUGUACUUGACUGUUAUCGGCAGAACUAUUAUGAGAUUAUCCUGAGCAUUAUAAUAGUCACCUGAAUCCUUAUUUCUUUUGACAUCGUAUCAAUCUUGGAUGUAAUAAAUACAUAACAACAG